CAGUCGCCGCGGUAACACAGAGGGUGCGAGCGUUAAUCGGAUUUACUGGGCGUAAAGCGUGCGUAGGCGGCUUCUUAAGUCGGAUGUGAAAUCCCUGAGCUUAACUUAGGAAUUGCAUUCGAUACUGGGAAGCUAGAGUAUGGGAGAGGAUGGUAGAAUUCCAGGUGUAGCGGUGAAAUGCGUAGAGAUCUGGAGGAAUACCGAUGGCGAAGGCAGCCAUCUGGCCUAAUACUGACGCUGAGGUACGAAAGCAUGGGGAGCAAACAGGAUUAGAUACCCGUGUAGUCCCUGUCUCUUAUAC
rnacentral:rRNA from 1 species